rnacentral:rRNA from 1 species
GCUAAACGCGAAGAACCUUACCUGGCCUUGACAUGUCCGGAAUUCUGCAGAGAUGCGGAAGUGCCUUCGGGAAUCGGAACACAGGUGCUGCAUGGCUGUCGUCAGCUCGUGUCGUGAGAUGUUGGGUUAAGUCCCGCAACGAGCGCAACCCUUGUCCUUAGUUGCCAGCGAGUAAUGUCGGGAACUCUAAGGAGACUGCCGGUGACAAACCGGAGGAAGGUGGGGAUGACAUCAAGUCCUCAUGGCCCUUACGGCCAGGGCUACACACGUACUACAAUGGUCGGUACAGAGGGUUGCCAAACCGCAAGGUGGAGCCAAUCCCAGAAAGCCGAUCCCAGUCCGGAUCGGAGUCUGCAACUCGACUCCGUGAAGUCGGAAUCGCUAGUAAUCGCGGAUCAGCAUUGCUGCGGUGAAUACGUUCCCGGGUCUUGUACACACCG